GCAUUAAUGGGGUAGUGGUAACCUCGGUCGUUGCCAUCGACCGGCCGCGAGUUCGAUUCUCGCUUAAUGCA